GGGCCUGCACAAGCGGUGGAGUAUGUGGCUUAAUUCGAUGCAACGCGAAGAACCUUACCUGGCCUUGACAUGCAUCUCUAAGUGUGUGAAAGCACAUGACCCCUCGGGGAAUUUGCACAGGUGCUGCAUGGCUGUCGUCAGCUCGUGUCGUGAGAUGUUGGGUUAAGUCCCGCAACGAGCGCAACCCUUAUGUUUUGUUGCCACUUUCGCUUCGGCGGAAAGCACUCUAAACAGACUGCCUCGUCUCAACGAGGAGGAAGGUGGGGAUGACGUCAAGUCAGUAUGGCCCUUACGGCCAGGGCUGCACACGUACUACAAUGCCCAGUACAAUGGGAAGCAAUACCGCGAGGUGGAGCAAAUCCUCAAAACUGGGCCCAGUUCAGAUUGUAGUCUGCAACUCGACUACAUGAAGUCGGAAUC
rnacentral:rRNA from 1 species